rnacentral:rRNA from 1 species
AGUGAACGCUGGCGGUAGGCCUAACACAUGCAAGUCGAACGGCAACACAGUAAGAGCUUGCUCUUACGGGUGGCGAGUGGCGGACGGGUGAGGAAUACAUCGGAAUCUACUUUUUCGUGGGGGAUGACGUAGGGAAACUUACGCUAAUACCGCAUACGACCUACGGGUGAAAGCAGGGGAUCUUCGGACCUUGCGCGAUUGAAUGAGCCGAUGUCGGAUUAGCUGGUUGGCGGGGUAAAGGCCCACCAAGGCGCCGAUCCGUAGCUGGUCUGAGAGGAUGAUCAGCCACACUGGAACUGAGACACGGUCCAGACUCCUACGGGAGGCAGCAGUGGGGAAUAUUAGACAAUGGGCGCAAGCCUGAUCCAGCCAUACCGCGUGGGUGAAGAAGGCCUUCGGGUUGUAAAGCCCUUUUGUUGGGAAAGAAAAGCAGCAGGUUAAUACCCCGCUGUUCUGACGGUACCCAAAGAAUAAGCACCGGCUAACUUCGUG